rnacentral:rRNA from 1 species
GAUGAACGCUGGCGGCGUGCCUAAUACAUGCAAGUCGAGCGGAGCGGGGACGGGUGAGUAACACGUGGAUAACCUCCUAUAAGACUGGGUUAACUUCGGGAAACCGAACCUAAACCGGUUACUUAUAGCUGGAUCCGCGCUGCAUUAGCGAGUUGGUAAGGUAACGGCUUACCAAGGCAACGAUGCAUAGCCGACCUGAGAGGGUGAUCGGCCACACUGGAACCGAGACACGGUCCAGACUCCUACGGGAGGCAGCAGUAGGGAAUCUUCCGCAAUGGGCGAAAGCCUGACGGAGCAACGCCGCGUGUGUGAAGAAGGUCUUCGGAUCGUAAAGCACUGUUAUUGGGGAGGCGGUACCUGAUCAGAAAGCCACGGCUAACUACGUGCCAGCAGCCGCGGUAAUUC